rnacentral:pre_miRNA from 1 species
AUCCAAUCUGGGAGCACUCUCCAGUGACUUGAAGAAAGGAAAGUGCCACCUGACUGGAUGA